GCUCAAGCAAGUCGUUGCUUUUCCUCCACCAUCUUGGCUCCGGCCCUCUGCCUACUUUUCCAAACAGAUCUGACUUACUCCUGGUCUGCCCCACCACACACACACACUACUUGCCAACAGAACCAGUAUUCUGGCAGUGUACUCUGUAAAUAAGGUCCAUCUUCUCCCUCCAUGCUUUUGCCUAGGGGGCUAGGCUGUUUCCCAAGCUUAGAAUACUCAGCUACAUGCUGCCUCCUUACAGCCUACCAUGAUUGCCCCCAUUUCUGGUGCUCUCAUCCUCCAAUAAAAUUAAUCUGUGUUAGUUUUCUGUAUACCUGUGGAAUCCUCCUCACCAUCACCCCAAGAACGUAAGCUUAUCGAAGAAAAGAGGAUCCACUUUGUCUUUGUGUUCCUGGUUCCCAAUACUCAAUAAUAAUGUUUCAUCUUGCUAUCCAAUGUAUGGAGCAGAGUCACGGGCUGGAAAUCCCCCCAAAUCUGCAAUGGGGAGGAAGCCAGCCUCAGUGACAAGGACCCCUAACAAUCCCACCUGUUGCCAUCUGAGGACACAAUGCCUGGUCCUUCUGAGGAUCCCAGCUCAUAGAUGACCCAGCAGGGACCUUGGGGAAAGUUUCAUCCAAUCCAUCUGGAGAAGAAAACUUGAGUUGGCAUAGAGAAUGGAAGAGACUUGGCCAGGGUCACACAGGUAGGAAGCCGGGUUCCCUAACUCUGAUUCGGCUAGUUUUCCCCCACUAGUCCAGGAUAUCUCUCAUUCCUAUUUUAAAGAUGAGGAAAUGAUGCAGAGUUGAAGUGACCCACCCAGCUGAACACAGCUUCGAUCAGCGCCAGGACACUGGAGCACAGGUUCUGACCCCAGUAAUGAGACCUGCUAUUCCAUGUUUCCCACAUAUGGACGCCUGCACUUGGGAGUAGAGAGGCAGAAAGAAGAGAAGUUGGAGAGGGUCUCAGUUAACCCUCUUCUAGAAGUGGAGAAGUCAGAGCAACUGAUUUCUAAAGCCCUUGCCAGCUCCAAACUCAUGGCACCAGAUUUUUGGAUUACAGACUGUGGGACAGAAACGUGGCUGUUCUCCGAGGACACAUGGGACACUCCCACUUAUCUGUAAAUACAAUGAGACCUAAAGAAGGAGCGGGCGUUAACAGAUCGGAUCACACUACACAAAAAGUCCAAAGCAUUUCCUGCGAUGCUUGCCCUGAUCUCUUCACCUGGGGACACCAGGCUCUCCUCCUGGCCUGUUCUUCUACCACAUGGGCAGAAGUAGCCUCCUCCAACCAGCUGCAUCUUUAAAACUGGCCGCACUGGGACAGCCUCUCUUUGCUGCUGCAUCCAAUGGGGUAAGAGCCCGUGGUUCACCCACAGAGCCAGGGCCAUGAACUGAGUCCCAAACAGAUAUCCCUUCACCCACAUUUCUCUUCCUCUAGGCCCCACGGCCUGGGGUGUUUGUUGUCAAUGUGUUUGCCAAUAUGUUGGCAACAGUGCCAGGUGCCUAUGGGGAAGCUUGAGUCCUGGACCUUGGACUUCGGGUAGGCUACUGAAGCCAGCUGGCCUAGCCAGGAGAAGCAAGGGUGCCAUGGGGGGUUUUGGACUUAGAACUUGGAACUGAGCUUACCUGUGAACUUAAUUCCCUUCCUCUCCCCAGAGAAUAAAGUAGUACAGGAUGGGGGUGAGGGAUUAAGCCCUGCGAAUUGGGGGAAUGUUUGUAUAUUUGUGAUCGUACCUUCGAAGUAAAUAUUUCUUUGUACAAGUUAGUGAUUAAGCAAGUAGAACUGAGGUGAAGGGGACCCCACCCCCUACAAAUGAAGGAAUGCCAUUGGUGGAGGCUGGUGCUAUUGGCAGAGAGCCCUGACACCCAACCCACCUUACGGGCACCAGAGAAUCCUGGGGGAGGGAGAAAUGUAACCCAUCUGGACUUCUGGAACCAGGGGCCAAGCUGGUAAGUAUCACACCGGCUUUCUAUUCACUCAGAAUUGUCUUGCAAAGACAUUUAUUAAGGUAGGUAUUUCCAAAGAACAUAGGCCCCUUAAGAGCAAAGACUAGCUUGUCUUUUUGUGCCUAGCACAGUACCCAGCAUGCAGCAGGUGCCUAAUAAAAGCUCCUCUAUUUUGAAAGACUUGGGAACUUAACGGAGGACACAAAUACAACCGUGACUCCAGAGGGCUGAUUGUGCUACUCCCUUCCUGAGCAGGAGUUGAAGACCAGACAUAAAAUGAGACUUAGAACCUCGGACACAACCGACGAGGGAAUUUGUUUUGCUUGACUAAGCAAAUUUGUUGCCCGGAACACAGAGAGGGGAAACUGGGGAGGCCCUCAGCGGCACUGGCCGGCCUCGGGAAGCUAGGCGGGGAAGAAGUGGAGACACUCACUCUGAGGACGGCAGUGCUGUUCAUCCCCUCCCCUCUAACCACUUCAGCCCCUGACAUUGUAAUCUCCUCCCCCUAUGAGGGUCUGCCGCCAGGUUCUCCCCUCUGCAGCCAUCCUCCCUCCACACAGAACGACAGAGUCAUCUGAAGACACAAAACCUUCCGUUGGCCUCUCAGGGCUCCAGCUCUUCUGGUCAGAUUCAAAGCCUUCCCCAAUCUGGUUCCCACCUGCCUCACUUCUCAUUGGUUCACACAUAGGACUUUCCAGACACGGGGGGGAUUCCUGGCUGGUUCUAUACCUCCACGUGCUUUCUCCAGCCUUCACAAUUUAUACAAGCAAUCUUCCCAUUCCUGGGAAGAAAUCUUCCUUCAAUCGAUCAACAAGCAUUUAUUAAGUGCUUACUUUUUGCCAGGCACUGGGCAUAGGUACAAAGAAGGAAAUCACUCCUGCUCUGAAGCCUCCGUUCCAAUGGAGACAAAAAUACAUUGGGAAAUAUAUUCAGAAUAAAUAAAGAGAAUAAAUAAAAAUAAAUACAAAGUAGUUAAAUACGAGGCUGUUUGGGAGGGAGGGCUUCCUGUAGAAAGUUUUGGGUGAGAUGUGUUUUGAAGGAAAUCUUUUUGUGGGGAAGGGGUGUUGAGAAAGGGGUGCACUUCAGGCACAGGGGAUGGGAGGGAGAGAAAUGCAAAGGCAGAGAGGGGAGGGAGAAAAUUCUGUGGAGCAAAGGAGAAAAGGCCAGUAACCCUAGAUCACAGGGUGUGGGAGGGGGAAUAAUUACGUCCAGUGAGGCUGGAAAGACAGGCCAGGCUCCUCUUCCCCACCCCCACCCAACCCCGGCCAGGGAGAGGAGGGGUAAAUGGGAUGACAUUGAAGACAAAGAAAAAGGAGGCAGAAAGACAAAAGUUUCAGGAAAGAAAAAAAGUGAGAACAAGAGGGACCAGAAGAAUUUUUAAAAAGGUGAGAAGAGCCACAUGGCUCCAAAGAGCUUAUACCAAAGGAAAAGCGAACUUUAAGGGCAGGAAAGGGGAGACCUCGCAAUCCAUGGUCCCUGGAGCCCACAGAAGCUUGGGAGUCCCCAUCCUGUCUCCGGCCGGAUGGCCACUGAGCUAGAACACUCGUGGAGUUCUGGGGCACUUGGAGAAGAGGGGAUUCCCUGACACCACGAGCUCAAUCUCCCACAAGGUGCCCCACCUGCCUGCAGGGACAAUCACUUCAGUCACACCACCUUAAGUCAGUAACACCGAGAAAGGGGUCGCAACCACGCUGACACAGCAAUAAAGUGGCACCAAACACUCCCAAGAGCCUGCAACACAACUUCCUACAAGGCCAAGGAGUCCAGUGGGAAGGAGGCUCGGCACAGAGCCCCCCAAGUCCUUUGCCUAGCAUUCAAGAGGCAGGCAAGUUGAGCAAGGAGAAGGAGGUCAAGAAGUGAGACCUCAAGGUAACUGUCUUCAGUUUCCUCUGCAAAGAGGAGGUCCGGGAAGCCUGAGAAGAGGUCUGGAAUAAGGUUCUGUGGGGCGUCAGAGGGGACCCAUCAUGGAGGACGAAAGGGCUGCCGUGCUGCAGUGAGGGUCCCCUGGAGGCUGGCUAGGGGGAGUCUCGAGUGUCCGGAGUCAGCAGGAUUGCGUGGCUUAUUCAGCAGCUCAUGAGGUGGACGGUAGGAGUAACCCUGAGCCGAGACAGCGCAGGGAUGAGUGGUUCCUGGAUGGGGGAGCUAAGGAUAUUCAAGAGUAAAGGAUGCAGAGCCGAUCAGCAUGAUGCAUCAGCUGAUUUAGCUGAUGGCUACAUAGAAGGCUGAGAUGGCCAAGCCAGGAAAGUGAAGUCAGUCUGAUAAAGCCCUGAGGGGCUGUAUACCUCAGCGAAGGUGAGCAAGCUUAGGAGAAGUGGGACAAAAGAGAGAAAAUGACAGCGGGUCAGGCAGAGGAAUGUCAGAGGGUCCUAGUGAGAUCUAGGGUGUGACCAUCGCUGGGCAUGGAGGAAGUGGAGUGGAGGAGGCGGUCCUGGGCCCUGAGAAGAUGGAAAGACAGACAGAUCAGGGUUUUGGAGGGAGUGCCUCCAGGAAUGCUGAAGCCCUCCCGAAUGGGGGCAGGAAAACCACAAGCCAGUCUCGUGCUCCUUGAGAAAGCAGGGGGAAUGACAUGGAGGCUGGUAGUCAAGAGCCACCGUGACGUCCAGGCGGUGGAGAAAACCUUCCCCUCUUCCUGAGAAUUGCCUAAUCUGACAUCUUUGGAUGGAUUUCAUGGAGUCCAUCACCGUGGACGGGAAAAAAAAAUCAUCUUUACAUUCACCAAUCUGUCCCCGAAUCAGCAUUUUCUUCUCAGAAGCAUGCUUUGGUUGUUGUUCUAAGGGAGAAUUCUAGGAGGGCAGCACGGGGUUACGAGGAAGUGAUACUGGUGAAAAAAUUUAAAGAAUCAAUAAAAAAAUUAAAUUUUAAAACACGGCAGGGAAUGAAUUACUGGACCCAUCUGCAGCUGUGGCCUUGGAAAUGUUUUUAAAAUUCAGGGCCGUUCUUAACAGGAUGGAAAAUUCUUGUUGGUUACAACAUUUCUUUUUUGUUUCCAUCACAUUGGACUGUAGUUUAUUUUUUUUAAAGAAAU